rnacentral:rRNA from 1 species
GUCCACGCCCUAAACGAUGUCAACUAGUUGUCGGGUCUUAAUUGACUUGGUAACGCAGCUAACGCGUGAAGUUGACCGCCUGGGGAGUACGGUCGCAAGAUUAAAACUCAAAGGAAUUGACGGGGACCCGCACAAGCGGUGGAUGAUGUGGAUUAAUUCGAUGCAACGCGAAAAACCUUACCUACCCUUGACAUGGCAGGAAUCCUGAAGAGAUUUAGGAGUGCUCGCAAGAGAACCUGCACACAGGUGCUGCAUGGCUGUCGU